CUAUAUUGUGAUUUUACUUUACAUUUUUAUUUUACUUAAGGUGAAAUAUAUUAAGCUCCCAAACUAAAUAUUCUAAUUUCAAAUGUCGACAUUUAUUCGAACCGAUGUUACUUGUGUAAAGUUUUACAAACAGUUCGUGUUAGCAGGGAUCGGCAGUGUUUUGCAUGUAUUUUUAAAAAAUGUAAACAAAUUAAAACAAAAAUUAGGCGUGUUAAAUGGGCAAAAAAUCUAUGGAAUUGUUCCUUCGGAAACAGACAAUAAAUUAAUAAUAUUCGGUGGCAAACAGAUAGCAAUCGUUGAGCUUGAUCUAAAAAAGGAUGUUUUUUAUUGCUGUUUCAUGCCUAUAUUGUGUGAUGACUGGGUUCAUUCAGCUGUAUGGAAAUCAAGUAAUAUAAUUGCAAUACUAACUGCUCACAAUGUUGUGGAGACAUGGAAUACAGAAUUUCAAAUUAUGUGCAGUCAGAAUAAGAGUAAAGAGAACUCAAUUUUAUACUGUGGCCUACUAGUUAAUCUUCUAGAUGAUGUAUUAGUACUAAGUGGUACUGUUUUUUCUGAGGUUCUACUGAGAUUUCCCAGUGAAGAAACAUUUUAUUCAUUAAAAGGGCAUAAGGGUGUCAUAUUUUCAAUUACAUGUGACUACAAAAGAGGAAUUAUAAUAACAACUUCAGACGAUAGGUCAGUGAGAAUCUGGAAAGUUCAAUCCCGAAUUGAAAUAAAAUUUGACACCAAGGUAUCUUGGACAAAUGUGGAAGAUAUACCAUGUCUACAUGAGUUAUAUGGUCAUGGGGCUAGAGUGAUGAGAAAUUGUAUUAUCAGUGAUUAUGUUGUAUCUGUGGGGGAAGAUUCAGCUAUAUGCUAUUGGGACAUUUAUGGAAAUCUUCUUAGAAAAGUAACAUCCCAUAACAAUUCUUGUAUAUGGUCAUUAGAUGCAGAAGACAACUACUUAGUGACUGGAGGAGGAGACAGUGCAGUAAUUAUUCAUCCUUUAUCAGUAAUAACAGAAUACAAUAAAAAUAGUCUAAACCUAGAUUUGAAUAUUACAUCACCAAAAAAAAUUGCUUUUACUGCUCAAAGGAAUAUAGUCAUUAUGACAGACUGCAAUGAGUUAAUUUUCUACAAUGCUAAUUCUAAUAUUAAAACUGAGUUUAAACUAAGACAUGAAACUACCUAUAGACUCUUAAGUAUUUCAUUUUGUAAACAACUUAUAGCUGUAGUAGAUAUGUUAGGAAAAUUUGAUGUCUUUAUUGAAAAUUGCAAAGAAAAUGUUAUAAAUAAUAUCAUAGAUACAAAACUUGAUGUUGGGAAAAUAAUGUCCAUGCACUGGGCAGGAAACCGCCAUUUAGUAUUUUGUGCUGAAUUGGGAAGAAUAACUAUUCUGACUGCUGAUAAUAAUAAAAUUGAUAUCUUUGCCACAUUUAAUUUACCAAAGUGUAAAGAGAGAUGGCUGACAGCAGUAGCUAUAAAUGGAAGCAAUCUUAUAGCAGGAGACCGAUGUGGUAACAUACAUAUAUAUGCUAAAGGAGAAAUGGAACCAAUUAAAACAUUUAAGCACAUUCAUGGAAGAUAUGGCCCAACAUCAAUAAAAAUACUCAAUAACACUGACUUUAUAACCACUGGUCGAGAUGGAUGUAUAAAAUACUUCUCUUUGACUAGGUAUUUGUAUAGCAGAGACCUUGAUUAUCCCUGGGUUGAAAGAUUUGUUGACAAGAAUAAUAGGUAUGUGUGUGGUUUUCAAGAGCGGACCUUCAUUGUAUUUGAUAUUGUACAUAAUAUAAAGGUUUUAGAAGUACAAUGUGGGGGAGGACAUAGGUCCUGGGAUGUAAUGCGCUACAUACAGAAGAGCAAUGAAGAUUUUGAUGAAUUUAUUUCAUUUAUUUAUAUCAAGGAGUCAAACAUAAAUUCACACAUAUUUCAAUUAAAUAAAAUAAUGUCCAGAAAUAUUGUCACUGGAACACACUCAAAAGAAAUCAACUGUUUGGAAUCUUAUAAACAUUCUUUAGAUUCAUCGCUAACAUAUUUUGUAUCAGGUGGUGAAGAUACCACUUUGCGCAUAUCAAGUUUAAACUCUGAAAAUCAACUCAAAGAGGAAUUAAUAUUUAGACACUUAUCCAGUAUCAGAACAGUAAAAUUAAGAGAAUUACAUGAUAAUUCUUUGCUUGUGGUAUCUGCAGGUGGUCGAGCACAAAUCUGUAUACGGAGGAUUUUAUUUAAGAAGAUUGCAGGCAGCAUUCAUGUUUCAGGACAUGAAUUGGUGAAUCAUAUGAUAAAAGGAACUGACAAAGAACGUACAGAAAGUCGUAAAAGAGGUAGUGAAACUGAUUUUGAUCCUGAAACAAGAGUGAUGGAUCUAGAAAUUUUAAGCUCAGAUAAUGUGAAGUUUUUAAUAUUUGUUGGAUGCUCUGAUGGUAAAAUUAGAACAUUAGAGUUUAAUCUGCACAAUAAUGAAGUGAAUAAUGUAGAUUAUAUUGAAAAAGGCUUAUGUUUUUUAAAAGUGAAAUUAUUAGAACUCCCCGCAAGAAGGAUGUUAAUAUGUUCUACAUCACAUGCUUCCUUGUAUAUCUGGGAUAUGCCACAGUUUAUUAAAGACUUUGAGCAGCACUAUACAAUUCAUAAAUCUGGCGUAAAUUGUAUUGCUACAGCAAUUAUUUCUGAUACUGACUUUUUAAUGGCUACUGGAGGGGAUGAUAAUGCAGUGUCUUUGAAUUAUAUGUCUUUAGAAGAGUAUAGGGUGGUUAGGAAGGAGGUAUGGACAAGCGAGACUAGCCAUUGCUCUCAAGUGACAGGUGUCCUAUUAGUAGACAACCUUCUUGUGUCAUCAUCCAUAGACCAAAGAGUGACGGUAUUUGAAUGGUCUCUUCUCGAUGGACUCAAGUGUCAGUUUAGGUCCCAAGUGUUUAGCGAUAUAGCUGACAUACAGGGUAUACAACUUCUUCAAAGUGAUAAGUCAUCAUUGACAGUUUGUGUAUUUGGGAAAGGCAUGGAAGUGAUGGUGAUCCAACGCCCCCCGCCGCUGUAACACUAGUAUUAACUUUAAACUAGAUAGAUAAAAGUACAAGAUCUUCUGGAUUAACAGAGACAUGUCGGUGAAAGUAAGUGCAGUGACGGCGCCCGUGUGGUUGGGCGAGGGUCCACACUGGUCUCACGACCACAAGGCUCUGUACUUUGUCAGUAUCUUCGACCGCUCCGUACAUAAGUAUGACCCUAGUACUGGC